GGCGGUGUGCUUAAUACAUGCAAGUCGAACGAGACUUUCGGGUCUAGUGGCGGACGGCUGAGUAACGCGUAGGUAACGUACCUCUUACUGGGGGAUAACAUCGGGAAACCGGUGCUAAUACCGCAUAAGUCGUGUCUUGAAAUAGAUACGAUUAAAGAUUUAUCGGUAAGAGAUUGGCCUGCGUCUGAUUAGCUAGUUGGUAGGGUAAUGGCCUACCAAGGCGAUGAUCAGUAGUUGGUCUGAGAGGAUGACCAGCCAGAGUGGGACUGGGAACGGCCCACACUUCUACGGAAGGCAGCAGUAGGGAAUUUUGCGCAAUGGGCGAAAGCCUGACGCAGCAACACCGCGUGCGGGAUGAAGGCCUUUGGGUUGUAAACCGCUGUCAGCAGGGAAUAAAUUGACUGUACCUGCAAAGGAAGCACCGGCUAACUACGUGCCAGCAGCCGCGGUAAGACGUAGGGUGCAAGCGUUGUCCGGAUUUAUUGGGCGUAAAGAGUUCGUAGGCGGUUG
rnacentral:rRNA from 1 species